CAUGUGUCUAUGUUAUUGGACAUGUUCCUGCUGGGUUUUAAUCAAUGUGCCAAUGAUCUAGCCCUGGUUUCCUUACUCAACAUGGGAAUACUUACUCUUUACUUAAUACCAGGUUGACUAUUUUGGUUGCAGUUGCAGAUCCUUCAUCAUUCAGCCGCUCCCAUUUCAAAAUGAAGUUGUGCCAAUCUGCAGCAUUGUCCUUCAGUUUUCUUGCACUUCCAGUCAAGUUCCCUUUCCUUCCUGGGGUUAAGCUAUCUAGUAUUAGGCCAAGAAAGACAAAAAUGAUACUGAACAAAAGUAGGUAAAAACUCGCUGCUGUCAGUGUCAACUGCCAACACAGACUACGAAGAGAAGACACGGAAGAUAAUGGAUUCUAAUGAGCCAACUGCACCAGAGGAGAGAAGCAUCACAACUAAUGAUGCUUCUCCAUCUGCAGUUCAGCCAUCCUCCCCAGAGCCCACAGCAGUAGAGGCUCACUUGGGAGUCCAGCACUUACUUUCCAACUCCAGGAUCCAGAUGGA